rnacentral:rRNA from 1 species
UACGUAGGGUGCGAGCGUUAAUCGGAAUUACUGGGCGUAAAGCGUGCGUAGGCGGUUCGUUAAGUGCGUCGUGAAAGCCCCGGGCUCAACCUGGGAAUGGCGAUGGAAACUGGCGGGCUGGAGUAUGGCAGAGGGGGUGGAAUUCCGCGUGUAGCAGUGAAAUGCGUAGAGAUGCGGAGGAACACCGAUGGCGAAGGCAGCCCCCUGGGCUAACACUGACGCUCAGGCACGAAAGCGUGGGGAGCAAACAGGAUAG